CCCUCCGGCCGUGCGAGCGGGAACAGUCUCCUCCACUCGGAGCGGCGCCAUCUUCAGCUCUGAGUCACCAGGGCUGGAAAAAUACUAGAUGCGCUACUCGCGGACUCGUGAAUACAGGCCAUUUCCUGUACCUACAGCCACGCGCUCCACUCAUCAUGCCUUACCUGGAUGAUGCAGAAGUCCCUGGAAACAGAAGGUCUCACCCUUCUUUAUCUUUCUCAUGGCUUUCCAAGGCUCUUUAUCAUGUUACUUUCCUGCUCAGAAUUCUUUAAUGACUUGCCUCAAUGACCAGAUAUAUGUGAUCUACAGUCAGCCUUCCAGCCUCAUCAUUCCUCUUCCAUUUCCUCCCCAGAAACACUGUACUUUAUGAAGCUCCUCCAAGAUUGCUCUCUCAGCAGCUGGGACCCGGUCUUGGAAUCUUAGUGUCAACUAUGAUGAAUCACCAACACUAACAAAAACAUUAUCUUUUAUUGGGUUAAAUAGUUUCUGCUCUUCCCAAGACUGGGAACUGAUGUAACAGGCUUCGUGCUUUCUUCCAACAAAUUGAUUCUGUGUGGUCAGCUCCUGUCAUGAUGAUAGAACCCCCUGUAUUGAUUUAUACUUAGGGGUAUAUCAAUGUCAGUCUAAACUUGUCCUACCUA
rnacentral:lncRNA from 1 species